CCUACGGGAGGCAGCAGUGAGGAAUAUUGGUCAAUGGACGAGAGUCUGAACCAGCCAAGUAGCGUGAAGGAUGACUGCCCUAUGGGUUGUAAACUUCUUUUAUAUGGGAAUAAAAUGUUCCACGUGUGGGAUUUUGUAUGUACCAUAUGAAUAAGGAUCGGCUAACUCCGUGCCAGCAGCCGCGGUAAUACGGAGGAUCCGAGCGUUAUCCGGAUUUAUUGGGUUUAAAGGGAACGUAGGUGGAUUGUUAAGUCAUUUGUGAAAGUUUGCGGCUCAACCCGAAAAUUGCAGUUGAAACUGGCAGUCUUGAGUACAGUAGAGGUGGGCAGAAUUCGUGGUGUAGCGGUGAAAUGCGUAGAUAUCACGAAGAACUCCGGUUGCGAAGGCAGCUCACUGGACUGCAACUGACACUGAGGCUCGAAAGUGUGGGUAGCAAACAGGAUUAGAUACUCCUGUAGUC
rnacentral:rRNA from 1 species